GUGGCGGACGGGUGAGUAACGCGUGAGCAACCUGCCUUUCAGAGGGGGAUAACAACGGGAAACCGUUGCUAAUACCGCAUAAUACCGGAUGAUGGCAUCAUUGACCGGUCAAAGGAGCAAUCCGCUGAAAGAUGGACUCGCGUCCGAUUAGAUAGUAGGCGGGGUAACGGCCCACCUAGUCGACGAUCGGUAGCCGGACUGAGAGGUUGAACGGCCACAUUGGGACUGAGACACGGCCCAGACUCCUACGGGAGGCAGCAUG
rnacentral:rRNA from 1 species